AGUGAACGCUGGCGGUAGGCCUAACACAUGCAAGUCGAACGGCAGCACAGUAAGAGCUUGCUCUUACGGUUGGCGAGUGGCGGAUGGGUGAGGAAUACAUCGGAAUCUACUUUUUCGUGGGGGAUAACGUAGGGAAACUUACGCUAAUACCGCAUACGACCUACGGGUGAAAGCAGGGGAUCUUCGGACCUUGCGCGUUUGAAUGAGCCGAUGUCGGAUUAGCUAGUUGGCGAGGUAAAGGCCCACCAAGGCGACGAUCCGUAGCUGGUCUGAGAGGAUGAUCGGCCACACUGGAACUGAGACACGGUCCAGACUCCUACGGGAGGCAGCAGUGGGGAAUAUUGGACAAUGGGCGCAAGCCUGAUCCAGCCAUGCCGCGUGGGUGAAGAAGGCCUUCGGGUUGUAAAGCCCUUUUGUUGGGAAAGAAAAGCAGCGGGUUAAUACCCCGCUGUUCUGACGGUACCCAAAGAAUAAGCACCGGCUAACUUCGUG
rnacentral:rRNA from 1 species